rnacentral:rRNA from 1 species
AUUGAACGCUGGCGGCAGGCUUAACACAUGCAAGUCGAGCGGGGUGAUGGUGCUUGCACUAUCACUUAGCGGCGGACGGGUGAGUAAUGCUUAGGAAUCUGCCUAUUAGUGGGGGACAACAUCUCGAAAGGGAUGCUAAUACCGCAUACGUCCUACGGGAGAAAGCAGGGGAUCACUUGUGACCUUGCGCUAAUAGAUGAGCCUAAGUCGGAUUAGCUAGUUGGUGGGGUAAAGGCCUACCAAGGCGACGAUCUGUAGCGGGUAUGAGAGGAUGAUCCGCCACACUGGGACUGAGACACGGCCCAGAAUCCUACGGGAGGCAGCAGUGGGGAAUAUUGGACAAUGGGGGGAACCCUGAUCCAGCCAUGCCGCGUGUGUGAAGAAGGCCUUAUGGUUGUAAAGCACUUUAAGCGAGGAGGAGGCUCUUUUGGUUAAUACCCAAGAUGAGUGGACGUUACUCGCAGAAUAAGCACCGGCUAACUCUGUGCCAGCAGCCGCGGUAA